ensembl:lincRNA A530013C23Rik RIKEN cDNA A530013C23 gene
GGCAUUUGGCUGUGUGAGUGUGGAGGCCAGUGUUCUGCAAGCCCUGGGCCUGCCUGCAUCUCCUUCGUGCCUCGUGGAAGGACCCUAGUGAAGCCACUCUGUCCCAAAUGAAGUAAUUUCUUGUGAGACAUGGUUUUCUGUCCCUUGCACGGGGAGAGAAAUGAGGGUCACAGCAAUUGAAGAGGCAAAUACCCACCUGUGGGGUGUGCGUGACAGAAGCGAACCAGGAACUGUGCCGGACGGAGGACGAAGCCCCAUUCCAUCACUACAUGAGCCCCUGGUCUCAGGAGUUAACCGCCUGCAGCGCUGGGCACGGCGCCUUGCUCAGAGGAGGACAGGAACGGAGGAAGAACAUCCAGGUGGGCGGGAAGGUGUGGACACGGGAAUGUUCGAGGCGUGUUUGGGAAGAGCGAGGAGACCAGCCCGGCUGGUGGGGAGGCUGGAAAGACUGGUUGAGGCCAGGAGGCCCUGACGGGGCCAGAAGAGGGCGGGCCUUAGUUGGGAAGCUCUAAGUAGCCAUUGUGUGCCCUGGAACCCUGGCAAUGGUUCUUGGUUUUGGUUUGACUUUUCAUAAAAUGUGUAAGAAUUUCCACAGUUUGAAGGCUACUAACACCUCCUUCCCCAGAGGUGACCCUCAAAGUGACACCCAAGAUGGGUUCCUUUGUACCAAUGUGGUGUGUCUGCCUCACAUUUCCCUCUGAGGUCCACUCACUGGUUGCGUCUCUUUUCUCUGCUGUAUAGUAUUCCACUGAUCAAAUAGACCACAGUGUGCUGACUUACCCUUCUCUGUGUGGAUGUUAUCUCUGGUUUUGAUUCUAGACUGGCACUGCUAGAAUACUCUAGCACCCUCCUCUUGAUACUUUCCAGAGUCUCGCCCAGGGCGGACAGUGUUCAAUGACGGGAGGCGGCAGGGUGGGGGGAGAUACAUGUUUUAUCUCUGUAGUUAGUCCAUAUUUCCAAGGUGUCAGGACCCCAUCUCUAUCCUUUUAGGCACAGCCCACCCUGAGGUCUCCUUCCGUAGCAUCCACACAGGUCAGAGUUGGGGUCAUGACACGUCUUUGAAGUCUCUGCUGUAGCUAUUGGGAGGUUCUGGGUUCUCCUACCCCUAGGCUUCUCAGCUUCCUUCAUGAAGCAGGCUAGUGGCCGGGCUUCCUAUCCAGGUCGCUCCUGCAGGGCACAGGGUGUUUGCGGUUGGUGCUUGGAUCUGGUGAGAUAGAGUCCUGCAGGAGGCAAGAUCCAGCAAGGAGACGCGGUCUGGUGAAGACCCCCCGCCCCCAGAGAUGUGGGCUUUGAAUUGAACUCCCAAAAGGGGGUUACAGGCUGAGAAAAGAGAAUUGUCUAGUGCUGAACUCUUGGCAGGCGUCGGCUGUGGGGGAGUGGAGGGCACUCAGCUAUAGUGCCGAGGGAGCCUCUUAUCCUAGGUUAUCAACCUGCCUCAGAAUUCAUGUGCUGUGUGGCUUGGAUGCCCAUGGCUCCCUCUCUGGGCUUGGGCUUCCUCCGUGCGGGAAGCUCAAGGACGCUGGCUCUCUGUCUGCCGGCCGUCCUGGCCCCUUAGGCCUCCUUGGCCACCCCCUCCAUACCCUGAGGAAGCCGAGGCUGAGGCACAGGGCCAGGGCUUGCACCUUGACGACACACCCACGCAGGGCACAAAGGCCCAUUGUUUGAGCCCACGUUGGCGGGGAAGCGGGUGGGAAGCAGCCAGCCGCCUUUCACCCAACCCGCUUGUGGUCGGUGGACUGAGGAGCAAUUCACAAAACCCCGCCCCUGCCUGGGCACCUGGCCAGGCCGCCUCCCGGGCAGGCACCCUUGCCAAGCUGAGCCAGCCUCUACCCUGCUCCUGGCCUCAGUUUCCCCCAGCAGGGAACGGGCCAGGAGAGCAUCGAGGUAGGAGGGUGGAACUUGCUGUUGGCCUGGGGGCUUGAGUCCCAGCACAGACAAGCCACCCACUUGGUUCAGGAAGAGGCUGAGGAAAGGGGCUUGGGGCCCAACAAACCUAAUAUGAGGCCCUGCUUAAAUAGUAUGAGAGAGUCUGUUUACUCAUAAGUCUUAGUUUCACCAACUGUAAAAGGAAUUUAAGAGCUUAUGACCAUUGGGACCCAUGGGACCACAGGGUGGCAGCUAUAUAUUUAUCAAUCCACCCACCCAUCCAUCCAUCCAUCCAUCCACCCAUCCAUCCAUCCAUCCAUCCACUGUCACAUGUUAUGCAUGGACUCUGCCAGGACAGCUGUAGAACUUCCAAGGCCAUAUGUAAAGUGAAACAUGAGGUCCCUAAUCCAGCACCAAGGGUUGCAAGAUGGCGGCGUCUGUAUCAAGCCCAUUUCAGACCAGGCCCUUUGAGAGACUCGGUGCCACAGGCCCCUGACCUUAGUGUCGGAGGCUAGCUUAGGGACCAGACACAGAGAUACACUAAUGAACAAAGUUCCUGCAAGGGUGCAGAUCUCUUAGUGGCAGAAGCUGGGGCCUCUGAGCUGUCCCUUGAGGCACGGUCCAUUGUGACCCCCAACUGUCUGGCACCACUGUCCCAAGGGUGGCCUCAGUCAGGUGAGCACCGUGCAUCUCUGUACCCAUCGUGUGAGGGGAUGCCUAGGCUGGCUGCGUGUUGGUACAGAGAGGGAAACUGAGGCCCCAGUCCUCUGGAUCAUCAACAGUUGAGUAGCAGUGUCAGGAUUCAAACUCAGGUCAACUCAUACCGGAGCCCAAGCCUCCUCUGGGUGAGGACAGCCCGAGCCUGAUGCCAGGGCUCUGCUGGGGUUCAAGUUUGGGGAGGGUGUGGGUGUGCUGGUGGCCUGCCAGCUGCACCUGGGCUUGAUCCUUCCCAUGGUCCUGAGUCACAGCUCUGUGUCCUGGGAAGCUGGCUCUGCUCUUGUCACCCAUGGGAUUUGUGUGGCUUCCUGUCACCAGGUCCACCUCCUCUACACUUCAGGGUCAUGCAGGACCCUGAGUGGGCUUGUUAGACAGGACCCUGCAUCUUUCUACUCUUGUGGCCUUUAGAGAGACGUCUCUCUGUGUUGUCUCACUUGGGCUAAACCCAUUCUUCUGAGAUAAUCCAGCAGAGAUUCGCUGUCGUCAGGUAAAGUUGGGAGAGUCCCAUCACUAGGGAGACGCCUCCUGUAUCCGGCCGGGACCUGAAGUCUAGAGUGUGGAACUUUUGGCAUCCCAAACCUAGGCUUUGUUGACUUCUUAAUUAUUCUGAGAUGGUCUCAUGUAGCCCAGGCUAGCCUAGAACUCUAUGUAGCUGGCUGACUUUGAAGUCUUGGUUUUUCUACCUCUACAUCAGAUUGUGACCAUGCCUGGCUUCAAAGUCUAUUUUAAAGAGUUCCUGUGAGACAUAGCUACAUAUUCCACAAAUAUCAAUUCCCAGACCCCAGCAGUUGGGAAACCCAGAGCCCCUGCACGCCCACACCAACCCCCAGGACCUCCUCCUUGUCUGAUUGCCUUG